rnacentral:rRNA from 1 species
GAGGAAAGUGGGGGGCGUGCUUAACACAUGCAAGUCGAACGGAAAGGCCCUGCUUUUGUGGGGUGCUCGAGUGGCGAACGGGUGAGUAACACGUGAGUAACCUGCCCUUGACUUUGGGAUAACUUCAGGAAACUGGGGCUAAUACCGGAUAGGAGCUCCUGCUGCAUGGUGGGGGUUGGAAAGUUUCGGCGGUUGGGGAUGGACUCGCGGCUUAUCAGCUUGUUGGUGGGGUAGUGGCUUACCAAGGCUUUGACGGGUAGCCGGCCUGAGAGGGUGGCCGGCCACAUUGGGACUGAGAUACGGCCCAGACUCCUACGGGAGGCAGCAGUGGGGAAUAUUGCACAAUGGGCGGAAGCCUGAUGCAGCAACGCCGCGUGCGGGAUGACGGCCUUCGGGUUGUAAACCGCUUUCGCCUGUGACGAAGCGUGAGUGACGGUAAUGGGUAAAGAAGCACCGGCUAACUACGUG